CCUACGGGUGGCAGCAGUGAGGAAUAUUGGUCAAUGGGCGUAAGCCUGAACCAGCCAAGUCGCGUGAGGGAUGAAGGUUCUAUGGAUCGUAAACCUCUUUUAUAAGGGAAUAAAGUGCGGGACGUGUACCGCUUUGUAUGUACCUUAUGAAUAAGGAUCGGCUAACGCCGUGCCAGCAGCCGCGGUAAUACGGAGGAUCCAAGCUUUAUCCGGAUUUAUUGGGUUUCAAGGGUGCGUAGGCGGCCUUUUAAGUCAGCGGUGAAAGUCUGGGGCUCAACCAUAGAAUUGCCGUUGAGACUGGGAGGCUUGAGUAUGUUUGAGGCAGGCGGAAUGCGGGGUGUAGCAGUGAAAUGCUUAGAUAUC
rnacentral:rRNA from 1 species